GUACUCGCUUUGGCGGUACAUCUACUAAAAUUGGAACGAUACAGAAAAGACUAGCAUUGCCCCUGCGCAAGGACGAAAUAAAAAAUAAAAAAUAAAAAAUACCGUU